rnacentral:rRNA from 1 species
UACGUAGGGUGCAAGCGUUAAUCGGAAUACUGGGCGUAAAGCGUGCGCAGGCGGUGAUGUAAGACAGAUGUGAAUCCCCGGGCUCAACCUGGGAACUGCAUCUGUGACUGCAUCGCUGGAGUGCGGCAGAGGGGGAUGGAAUUCCGCGUGUAGCAGUGAAAUGCGUAGAUAUGCGGAGGAACACCGAUGGCGAAGGACAAUCCCCUGGGCCUGCACUGACGCUCAUGCACGAAAGCGUGGGAGC